rnacentral:snRNA from 1 species
GGCAUCUAUAUGUGAGAUAU